AUUGAACGCUGGCGGCAAGCCUAACACAUGCAAGUCGAACGAGUGGCGGACGGGUGAGUAAUGUCUGGGAAACUGCCUGAUGGAGGGGGAUAACUCCUGGAAACGGUAGCUAAUACCGCAUCCCAUCGGCUGUGCCCAGAUGGGAUUAGCUAGUAGGGGGGGUAAGGGCUCACCUAGGCGACGCUCCCUAGCGGGUCUGAGAGGAUGAACAGCCACACUGGAACUGAGAAACGGUCCAGACUCCUACGGGAGGCAGCAGUGGGGAAUAUUGCACAAUGGGCGCAAGCCUGAUGCAGCCAUGCCGCGUGUAUGAAGAAGGCCUUCGGGUUGUAAAGUACUUUCAGCGGGGAGGCGUUACCCGCAGAAGAAGCACCGGCUAACUCCGUGCCAGCAGCCGCGGUAAUAC
rnacentral:rRNA from 1 species